CAAGUGUGAAAUAUGCUACCUCCAGUAUAUUGAGCUUCUUUCUUAGUAGCAGAAGGCACAGGGCACACUAGCUCAUUCUUUAUUUGGAAGAAGAUUCUCAGCAUCCCCAAGAUCUUGAGCCCUCUAAAAAUAAUAACUGUGGCAGGUUUCUGGCUCUUUGUAGGGUUGACCUCCUGCUUUUGUGAGUACUUGUAUCUCUUGUUACUGAUACAAGAGGUCUUGUAUCUCUUGUUACUGAUACAUCUGAUACCAUAGGGCCGGCUGGAUCACAUGGCCUGAUAGAAAGGCCUGAUUUAUGUGAUGUCAUCAGGCAUGCUGUCAUCAUGACCUUUGUGAUGCUCUGUGGCCAGAUGGCCCAGGUCCCUUUGGAAAUACUAUGACAGAAUCAAGGAGAAUUACCAAAGCCCCAGGGCAGCACUGAGUGAAUACUGCUAUUCAUCCUAUGGCUAUGAAUGUGAACUAUUUUGGAUACUUCUUUCUGCUGGAUAUGGAAAAGACAGCAUUUGCCAGAUCAAUAGCUGCCUGCCACUUACCUUCAACUAUGUUAAGUUGCUCUGGGGAUAGGGGCAGCUUCAGAGGCUUCCACUUGACCUUUUGUAUGACAGAAGCUCUUAAUCUACUGGCCAAGAAACUAUGGGGCAUUUCUGUUGGAGGAAGCAUCGCCUUGGGAGAGAGAAGAGGACCAGAAUUUAGGCCUCAGAAGGGAAGAAUGAAGACCCCAAAGUUGCCACAUUCUAGGGAGCGCAGACCUCAGGAUUUUGAGGAGUUGGUUCCAUCAGCGUCAAGAGAUGAGGAAACUGAGGCUCAGAGAAGUUGAGGGACUGGCUCAGAGAUGCAUGGCUUGGAAUUGCCGGAGCUGGCCUGGAAGACCAGUAGUCUCCCUCCAAUUGCACACGAUUUCCUCUGCGGCUCUGCGUUGUUGAGAGAAGGGUCGGAGGGGCUGGACAGGAAGAAGCAAUGCAAAGAUGAGGCAGAAGGAGGGACUUAGCAGUUCUGGGGGCUUCCGGCCUCGUGCUGCCUGCUCUCUCCUGAAUCCAUCUUUCUGUCCUAAUCCAACCAUUCCAUCACCAGCCUCCAUUCCUGUGAAUGUUGACAGAAGAGCUCCAGACUCUUUCCAGCUUUCCAGACUUUUCCACCCACACAAUGUCAAGGGUCUUCCCAGCUUUCCUGUGAAGAGAGGCCACCCCAUUCCACAGAAGGGGGAAACUGAGGCUUAGAGAAGGCACAGGGUCCCAUGUAGCUGCAUUGUGGCUCUUCCUGGUCCCUCUGCCUGUCCUGGGCCUGCCAUUGUCCCACCUCCAGGUCUGCCCGCUGCCUGCACCUCUCCUCCCCGUCUCACCUUGCCCUGCACUGCAGCUGCCACCACCUCCGGCAGCCCUCCAGACCAACACCCUAAAGUGGUGGUGCCAUGAUAUUCCCGGCUUUUUCAAAACCCUUUUCCCAGAGUGUGUUCACCAGAAUGGCGGUCCCACGAGGAGCUCUGCGAUGAAAGGGCUUCAUGGUCAAAUCGUUUGGGAAAUGUGGCUUCCUUUGUCCCUUCCUUCUCAGUUUGCCAAAUUUAAUUGUGCCACACCCCCAUGUACCUUCUUUAGUUUCAUGAUCCACUUUUUAAUACCCUGUUUUGGAAUAUUCUCUGGCUGAGGAAUGAAGUUCAGAUUUCUACUCUUGGCAUCCGAAGGGCUUCACCAUCAGACCUCAACUUUGUUUUCUAUUAUGCCUCCUUGGAUGUCCAGAGCCCUUGCCCUUACUCAGUAGUCCCCGGUGUCCACAAAAUCCAUGGUUUCACUCUCCCCAUCAUGUAUCUCAGAGCUCUGUUU
rnacentral:lncRNA from 13 species